CAGUAGCCGCGGGAAUACGUAGGGUGCGAGCGUUAAUCGGAAUUACUGGGCGUAAAGCGUGCGCAGGCGGUUAUAUAAGACAGAUGUGAAAUCCCCGGGCUCAACCUGGGAACUGCAUUUGUGACUGUAUAGCUAGAGUACGGCAGAGGGGGAUGGAAUUCCGCGUGUAGCAGUGAAAUGCGUAGAUAUGCGGAGGAACACCGAUGGCGAAGGCAAUCCCCUGGGCCUGUACUGACGCUCAUGCACGAAAGCGUGGGGAGCAAACAGGAUUAGAUACCCCCGUAGUCCCUGUCUCUUAUAC
rnacentral:rRNA from 1 species